UUAAUCGGGUCCCGACCCGACCCAUUCGGGUAAAGACAAAUCGGAUCCAUUUUUUCGGGUUUUUUUAUGAGUUCGGAUUAAUCCGAAAUCCAACUAUUCCCAAUCGGGUUCGGGUUUUAAGCCACCGCCCGAAGAACCUGAUCGAGGGAAGGGCAAAAAGGGGGAAUGGGUAACACCAUGUCAAAAAAAAGAAUCCACUUCCUUGGCCCUUGCUGCUGCCGUUGUUCUUGUCUUGCUUCCCCAAAACUCAAAAGCCUUUUCUUGCUACUGCCAUUGUUGCUAUCGCUGACCAGACAUCUCACGGCUAACCAGUCGCUGUGGCCGCGCCACCCACCAGACGCCGAUGAGCUCUCCUUCUUCACCUACAGUCCGCGCUUGCUAUUUUUGCCAAUUUUCAGCAUUGUGUCAGGGCGUGACGACAAAAUAGAGGGUUGAGUAGUCCCUCGUGAAAUCGAAGCAUUUUGAGAAUUUAAGGUCGAGUACUCGAGGAUGAAAAUGUGAUGAGUUUUUUCAGUCUGUGCAUUAAGAUUUAGGAGGCCUUGGCUUUAUUGUUGUUAUUGAAAUGAUUUACAAAAACCUCUGAUAAUUUAUGGAUGUGAUUGAAUUCUUUUUUUUGGGUAUUUAUGUAAAGCUUUAAGUAUUUGUGUCCAUAAAUUAUAUGACUUACAUGGAUUUACUUUA